CUAACUUUCAGGGUGUUGAGCUGGAGCUCCGGAAACUUGAAGGGUUGGUAGAGGCCAUUCAUGGGAAUCUUUUGUAUCUGAAGCGCAGGGAAGCAGAUAUGAGGAUAGUAAGUGAAAAGACAAAUGGAAGAGUGGCGUGGUUUAGCAUAAUGUCCUUAGGUGUAUGUAUUUUGGCUUCCGCACUUCAACUCUGGUACUUGAAGCGCUUCUUCCACAAAAAGAAGCUCAUCUAAAAUAGUGUUCUUCUCUACCUUUGUGACUUUCUUUUCUUACACCAAGGAGUA